rnacentral:lncRNA from 1 species
GUUGAAUGGAUGGCAGCAGUUACCGUUGCUGCUGGGACAGCUGCAAUUGGUUAUCUAGCUUACAAAAGAUUUUAUGUUAAAGAUCAUCGAAAUAAAGCUGUGAUAAACCUUCACAUCCAGAAAGACAACCCCAAGACAGUACAUGCUUUUGACAUGGAGGAUUUGGGAGAUAAUGCUGUGUACUGCCGUUUCUGGAGGUCCAAAAAUUCCCAUUCUGUGAUGGGUCUCACACAAAACACAACGAAGAGACUGGAGUCAACGUGGGACCUCUUAUCAUCAAGAAAAAAGAAACUUAAG